AGUGCCUGUGACACGAAAAAGCAUGUUUAUUUCAUAAUACACGCGGUAUUUUAUGCCCCUGAAUGAUAUGGACCACUUGGAUGUGUGUGGAAGCGAUCGCUAUAUUUAUUUAGUUUUUUGAAUCCCGCGCCAUGAAAAUGAGUGACUUCCGGCUUCGGUCUUGCAUUGAGGAGGAGGGCGCUGUGACGUGUACGGUAGAAGACGUUCUCUUCACUAUACAGUGUACUGUUGUGUAUGAGGACGAAGGAUUCAGCUGAUUUUGCGGAUUAAUACUUUUAUUUUUUGCAUCACGCCAGCCAAACGGCUGCAGAAAAAUCAUUCUGUAUGCGGGAGAGGCGUAUGCGCCUUUUUGGAGUUUCAAAAGGUUCCCAUUCACCGUGGAUAUUUACUGUGGGACCAUUGGACUUACAAGGAACCGGGCGGACAAGGUGUUGCCGCGAAGAGAGUGCUGUUAACGUCUGGCCAAACAGAAAAGAGUGGCAACACCCUAGCAAAGAGGGACGCCCCUCGCUGCUACGUAAUGACGUCAUUUCCCGAAGACAUUGCCAGCACUCCAAUACGAAAGUAUUGACAAGUUUCCGAGG